AAAUUGAAGAGUUUGAUCAUGGCUCAGAUUGAACGCUGGCGGCAGGCCUAACACAUGCAAGUCGAACGGUAACAGGAAGCAGCUUGCUGUUUCGCUGACGAGUGGCGGACGGGUGAGUAAUGUCUGGGAAACUGCCUGAUGGAGGGGGAUAACUACUGGAAACGGUAGCUAAUACCGCAUAACGUCGCAAGACCAAAGAGGGGGACCUUCGGGCCUCUUGCCAUCGGAUGUGCCCAGAUGGGAUUAGCUUGUAGGUGGGGUAACGGCUCACCUAGGCGACGAUCCCUAGCUGGUCUGAGAGGAUGACCAGCCACACUGGAACUGAGACACGGUCCAGACUCCUACGGGAGGCAGCAGUGGGGAAUAUUGCACAAUGGGCGCAAGCCUGAUGCAGCCAUGCCGCGUGUAUGAAGAAGGCCUUCGGGUUGUAAAGUACUUUCAGCGGGGAGGAAGGGAGUAAAGUUAAUACCUUU
rnacentral:rRNA from 1 species